GGGUGACAUGGGGCUGGGGUGCUGGCAUGGGUCGAGGGUACACAAAAGUACCAGCUGAAAGGUGUGGUAUAUAGUGCUGAGUGGACUGCGGGCUGGUCCUGGCCCUGGAACCCUCUGGAGAGGACAAAAUGACAUAGUAUGGAGACCUCGGGGGCCUUCCAGAACCAGUGAAAGAACUGGGGGAUGUCUGCUUCAUCUGCGGAGCCGAGGCACCAGGUCUCUGAGGUAAGAAGAGGUUGGAUUGUGGUGAACACCCAGGGGAGUGUACAGAUGGACUCGUAG
rnacentral:lncRNA from 1 species